GGCUUUUCUCAGAGGUUUUAACGCCCCUAGACUUCAUUUCCCGACAGGGACUGCGGGUCUGGAUAUUCCGUCGUGGACUACGUUUCCCACUGACGACGGAGAAAACUUGGUCCUUUGGCUCCGCGCUGCGCGUGACCUGCAGUCACCUGAGCAAGAGGGCGGCGUGGGUCGCUGCGGGAGCCCCUACAGCCCCAGCCCGCAGCCCACGUGGCACCCUACAGGGCUGUGAGAGUGGGGCUGCUGGAGGCGUUCAGAGCGCGGAGGCCCCAGGCGCGGGCCGGGCUCUCUCCCGCCUCCUCAGGCCCGGGGGUGCUGGAGCUGCCGAGUGUCUUUGCUCAGUUCAAAAGCCACAGAAGAAGUUCUGGACGAUGUGGGCCUUCAAUCUUCUAAGAUGGGAAUAGAAAGAAGAGGAUCUACCCAGACCAGGACCCUGCUGCCCAAUCUCAGCUCUGGCUUUCUGGAUCUGUGCUUCUCUGGUAGAGGAACCCUGAGGACUGAUCUACUCUUGCAGUUCUAAAACCAUGGCCCAUGACAUGACUUUUCUAAGCCAGAUGUAAUUACAUCAUUGGAGCAAGGAAAAGAGCCCUGGAUGAUUGUAAGGGAAGAAAAAGGAAGAUGGUGUACAGGCCUCGCUAUUCCCUGGGACACAACAAUAUUGAACGUAGGCUAGUUAAUAGCCCUACAAUCUCCUCUAAGUGUUCGAGUGAAAGGAAGAGUCACAUGUGUCUCACUUUAAACCAAAAGCUAGAAAUGAUUAAACUUAGUGAGGAAAGCAUGUUGAAAGUCCAGACAGGCUGGAAGCGAGGUCUCCUGUGCCAAACAGCAGGCCAAGUUGCACAUGCAAAGGAAAUGUUCUCGAAGCAAAUUAAAAGUAUUACUCCAGUGAACACACAAUGACAAGAAAGCGAAACAGUUUUAUUGCUGAUGUGGAGAAAGUUUUAGUGGUCUGGAUAGAAGAUCAAACCAGCCACAACGUUCUGUUAAGCCUAAACCUAAUCCAGAGCAAGGCCCUAAUGCUCUUCAAUUCUAUGGAGGCUGAGAGUUGAGGAAGCUGUGGAAGAAAAGUUUGAAGCUAGCAGAGAAUAAUUCAUGAGGUUGAAAGAAAGAAGCUGUCUCCAGAACAUAAAAGUGCAAGGUGAAGCAGCAAGUGCUGAUGGAGAACCUCCAGCAUGUGAUCCAGAAGACCUAGCUGAAAUAACUGAUGAGGGUGACUGCAUUAAAUAACAAAUUUUCAUUGUAGACAAAACAGCCUUCUAUUCAAAGAAGAUGCCAUCUAGGACUUUCAUGGCUAGAGAGGAGUCAAUGGCCGGCUUCAAAGCUUCAAAGGAAAUGCCAUGUCUCCUGUUAGGGGCUAAUGCACCUAGUAACUUUAAGUCAAAGCUCAUGUGUAUUUACCGUAAUGAAAGUCCUAGGAUCCUAAAGAAGGGUGCUAAAUCUACUCUGCUUGUGCUCUAUAAGUAGAAGAACAAAGCCUAGAUGACAGCACAUCUCUUUAUAGCAUAGUUCACUGAAGAUUUUAAGCCCAAUAUUGAGACCCACUGCCAAGAAAGAUAGAUCAUUUUCAAAAUAUUACUGCUCACUGACAAUGUGCCUCAUCACCCAAGAGAUGUGAUGGAGAUGUAUAAGGAGAUUAAUGUGGUUUUCAUGCCUAUUAACACAACAUCCAUUCUUCAGCCAAUGAAUCAAGGAUUAAUUUUGACUUUCAAGUCUUAUUUAAGAAACACAUUUUGUAUGGCAAUAGCUGCCAUAGAUAGCAGUUCUUCUCAUGGAUCUAGGGAAAGUAAACUGAAAACCUUGUGGAAAAGAUUCAGCAUUCUAGAUGCAAUUAAGAAUACCUGUGAUUCAUGGGAAGAAGUCAGGUAUCAACAUGAACAGAAGUUUGGAAGAAGUUAAUUCCAACCCUCACGGAUGACUUUCAGAGGUUCAAGACUUCAGUGGAGGAAGUAACUGCUGCAGUUACUUGUGGUGGAAAUAACAAGAGAAAUAGAAUUAGAAGUGGAGCUUGAUGAUGUGACUGAAUUGCUGCAACCUCAUGAUCAAACUUGAAUGGAUUAAGAAUCUACUCCUGGUGAAGAUGCUUUGAACAUUGCUGAAAGGACAAGGAUAUUAAAAUAUUACAUUAAUUUAGUUGAUACAGCAGUGGCAGGGUUUGAGAAGAUUGACUCUAGUUUUGAAAGAAGUUCUAUUUGAGUAAAAUGCUAUCAAACAGCACCACAUGCUACAGAGACAUCUUUCAUGAAAGGGAGAGUGAACUGAUGCAGCAAACUUCUUUGUCUUAUUUUAAUAAAAUGUUAUACCCACCUCAACCUUUAGCACCCACCAGUCAGCAGCUAUCAAUAUCAAGGCAAGACCAUUCACCAACAACAAAAAAAAUGACAACUCGCUGAAGGCUCAGAUGAUCAUUAGCAAUUUUCAGCAAUAAAGUGUUUUUAAUUAAGGUAUCUGCAUUGAUUUUUUUUUAAGAUGAAAUUUUGCUCUUGUCACCCAGGCUGGAGUGCAGUGCUGCAAUCUCAGCUCACUGCAGCCUCCGCCUCCCGGGUUCAAGUGAUUCUUCUGCCUCAGCCUCCUUAGUGGCUGGGAUUACAGGUGCCUAGCACCACGCCCAGCUAAUUUUUAUAUUUUUGGUAGAGACGGGGUUUCACCAUGUUGGCCAGGCUGGUCUUGAACUCCUGACCUCAGGUGAUAUGCCCGCCUCGGCCUCCCAAAGUGCUGGGAUUACAAGUGUGAGCCACCACGCCCAGCCUGUGCAUUGAUUUUUUAGAUAUAAUGCUACUGCACACUUAAUAGACUACAGUCGAGGGUAAAUAUAACUUUUAUAUGCACUGGGAAACUAAAAAAUCCAUGUAACUUGCUUUACUGCAGUAUUCACUUUAUUGCAGUGGUCUGGAACCAAACCCACAAUAUCUCCAAAAUAUGCCUGUAGUCAGUGGGACACAUGAUGCUUCUUUGGUUGGGAGAUUUGUGGACAUGAGUCUUGAGGAAUCUUGAGAAAUUGAAGAAAUGAUGGAAAGACAGGCUAGUCAGUGGUCAGAAGGAAAGGGGUAGGUGCUGGGUAAAAGAGCAAAUUGAAACAAAGAACAAAGAGGGAGGAAGAGAAUUUAUUUAUUUUUAUUUUUAUUUUUUUGAGACUGAGUCUCACUCUGUUGCCCAGGUUAGAGUGCAGUGGCACCAUCUCAGCUUGCCGCAACAUCCGCCUCCCGGGUUCAAGCGAUUCUUGGGCCUCAGCCUCCCAAGUAGCUGGGACUACAGGCAUGCACCACCACACCCGGCUAAUUUUUGUAUUUUUAAUAAAGACAGGGUUUCACUAUGUUGGCCAGGCUGGUCUCGAACUCCUGACCUCGGGUGACCUGCCCGCCUUGGCCUCCCAAAGUGCUGGGAUUACAGGCAUGAGCCACUGUGCCUGGAAGGAAUAGAAUUUAAAAAGCAUUUUUGAAAUGGGAAGAAACAGAUUUUGGAGGAUAGGAGAUGGAAGGAACCAGAAGAGGAGAAGGUCACCAUCCAACUUACUGCAUUUUCUGGAGAGUUUCGUGUUUCUUCAGCAGGUGUACCAGCCUGGUCUUGGUUUGGAUGCCUGUGACUCUUACCAUAAGGUAUAAGGCCUUAGCCUGCACAUUCUCAUCACUGUCCAUCAAUCCCAUAGCCAGUGGAAUAGCAAAAUGAUGGUUCAUGAGGCCUAGCCUAUCCAGCGCCUCCCAGGGUAGUUCACGGAUACGUGGAUUGGAAUGGAUUGUGUCUUGUAGGAGGCGAUGGGCAGUCUUAGAAACCAACUCUGAAGAUAUCUGGCAAGUGGCAAAAAUACGUUUAAGUACCCUAAAAUAUCUCUUGUAUUCCUCUACAGAGCAGUAAAUUGUGAGGUUGAGGAUGGCCUCUAUUAAAUCAUCCAUAAGCCUUCCACUAUAUUUUCUUCUCAUCCAAUUUUGGUUUGCCAUGCUUUCAAGAAUAUCAAGGGAAGUUCCUUUUCGCACCUUGGAUUUAUCCUUUUGUUGACUCCUUGAAAUUUUCUCUUCUACUAGAGUCAUAGAUGACAAGUCCCAGUCCUUAACUUGGUAGGAUGAAUACAGAUCACAGCAUAGGAAGACUGGGGUACCCUCAGGCCAAGGGCGAGCACGGAUCACUGAGUUGGGGAUGGCCAUCAGGAGCAAAGGGCCAUUGCCGCCCUUGACCAAAGAAGCACUGUGGCAUUUGGUAGGCAUUGAAUCCAUCCCAGCCAGCCAGCUGCAACGGAGCAGGAACCUCAUGUCGGGGACGAUUAUACUUGGAAUCAAGAGUAGAGAAAUCAAUAUCCUUAUCCUCCAAAAGAGGAAAUUUGGUCUUUUGAAUCACAAGGGACAUGCUUCUCUCUUCUUCUACAACAUGAGGCACAGUAUUGUCAAAAGCAAUGAACCGUUUGUUGACAAGGGUCUCUAGCCCCUGUAAUUCCUGCCGCCCUUUUCCAAGGUAGACAAAUCUGGGUACAAAUACUGUUUCAAACAUAAAGAAGAAGCUAGGAAGGAAGGGUUUAGGGACUUCUUGUAUUUCAUCUGCAUUUUUUAGGAUACGCAGGUGAACCAGCUGAGCUGGAGGGAGCAGCUUUAAGCAAGAUACUAUGUAGAUACGCUGGUUGAAAGUCAACAACAGGUCACUUCGAUUACUGGCAAAGCAGAGUGGUCCAAAAUGCAGGGCUGAGUCGAACUCGGUUACAAGUCUACCGUGGAAGUCCCAGAUCCGGACUGAGCCAUCAAUGCCACCUGUGACAAAAAGUUUCAGGGGAAGGCAGACAUCAAAUGAAGUGAUGUCACACUCAUGCAGGCAUUUUGUCUCUCUCCACACAAAGCUCUGUUUUGAUUCUGAAGAUGUCAGAAAGCCUUCAUAGUGCCAGAGACACCAGCAGUAGCUUUCAGUGAUGGCACCCACAGAACCUGGCAAGAGUAUCACACGUUUUAGGGGGCAGCCACAGAGGAUUUUGCUGACAGGCUGAAGGACUACCUUGUUCACCUGAAGCACGGCCUCUGUCAAGUGUAUGAUGUUAUCCGUGCCAUAGGAACAGAGCAAGGCGUUUCCCUGAGGGCCUUCCAGGGUAGACAAUGCCAAUACUGCCCCAGAGUGAACAGUCUUCUCUAUUCGGGCACAACUAUAGUGGGAAAGGGUUCUCACAAUGCCACUCUCAUGCCCACAGAACAUCAAUCCUCCUAGGCCUUUUUGCAGAUGGGACCUCCCAUAGGCCAAGCAUCUUACUGUAUCCUUACGGUCUGCUGAAGUGCACACAAGAUACUUGGCUGUACAAGGAGAGCGUGUUGCAUCAAACACCAGCACCUCUGAACUGCCUAUUGCCACAAAGAGUUCCUCUCUCUCUGAGUCAUAGGCCCAAGCCAAAGCCUUAUCCAUAACAAGUAGAGGCCAAGUGAUAACCAGGAGAUCCCCUGUUACUGGAGACAAGAAGCGCAAUAAACCAUCCUCAGUGGCACAUAGAAUCCGAGUCCAGUUAUGGCCGCAGCAGACCCGCUGCACUUGCUGGGGAGCAGAACCACAGACAUUGAAGAGGCUAUAAAAGUAGGGCAGGUGAUGCAAUGAAAAACUGUAGGUGGUCUGGCAGAAAAAAGUGGUAUUAUCAAUAAACUGCAGUCUCUGAAGAUCCUCGUCAAUAUUCAGCUGCCGCAGCAAGUUCCCAUAAGUGAGAUUCCAUUCCCUCACUAUGCCUUCACUGCCUGCUGUUAGUAAGGUGUGGAUCUCUGGCCGGCUAUGGAUACAUAUCACUGAUGAGGAAUGGGCUUGAAAGCUGUGGAGGAAGUUACCUUGGUCUAAACCCCAAGCGUGGAUCUCUCCAGCCCUGUUUCCAGCAUAGAAAUUGCCCUGAGAGACACAAGUAAAGGAGCAAGUGAUGGAAGAGCCACUGGCGACAGGAGUGAACUUCACUUCUUCCAGCUGGCCCUGACCCCGGUGAAUGAAGACCCUCACUGUAUCCUCACACAGAGCCAACAGGGAUCCCUGGGGGCCAUUCAGGGAAAAUCCCUGUACAAGCUCAUGAUCAGCCAUAGGUACUAUUUGAGCCAUCUCGAUGCCCAUGCCAUUUGGUAAGAUAAACCAGGUAACCACAGCCCCCAGGGUACCAGAGAGCAGCAACUCAGCUUCUGGAUCAUAGAAGAGGCAGCUGGUGGAGAAAUGACAGGGCACUGUACCCAGAAAUCUGAACGUUCGACGGUGAUCUCCAAAAAGCCUCAGGCGCAUGUCACCACAGUAAGCAAUUAACAUGUGGUAGGAACCUGUGUGGACCAUUGCUUGAAUGGGCGGCCACUGAUCCAUCAUGCGAAGCCUCAUCUUCUCUACCAUUCCUUUCAUUUCUGUACCCUUUUUUUGUAUCCAAAGUACUGCCUAGAAGAGGAUGAGAGAUGAAAGCCUGACUGUGGAGGUGGAUCAUUUUCCAAAGUGUGGGGUAGGGAAGGCUGAAUAUUCAGAUCCCUGUUCCCUCUGGUGUGACUAAGGAAAGACUAGACAGCUUGACUUUAGGAAUCUCCUAGUACAGCAGCUCCCACUUACCCAUGGUUUCCCUUUCUGUGGUUUCAACUACCUGUGUGGUCAACUGCAGUCCAAAAAUAUCAAAAGAAAAAUUCCAGAAAUAAACAAUUCAUAAGUUUUAAA
rnacentral:lncRNA from 1 species